CCUAUUUCAGAAAUGCAGUCCAGCUAUGCCAACCACAUUCUCUCCCUUGACUGAACUGGGGUAGCUAUAAUGGGGCCUUUCUUGGCCAUUGUCUCUGCCUCGUUCCCAGAAUGGGAUCUAAACUUGGUGUGGACUGCUUUCAGAAUGAUGGAGGAAGGGAUACCUUAUAGUUUGUGAUCCUCCAAAAUGGUAAAGCUUGGUGGAAGCCCUCAGUCAAGGGGAAGAAAUCAGAGACAGGAAUGACUAAGGAAUAAAAAAAAUUGGAGUCA